rnacentral:rRNA from 1 species
CUAGGUGGGAUUAGCUAGUUGGUGAGGUAAGGGCUCACCAAGGCGACGAUCCCUAGCUGGUCUGAGAGGAUGAUCAGCCACACUGGAACUGAGACACGGUCCAGACUCCUACGGGAGGCAGCAGUGGGGAAUAUUGCACAAUGGGCGCAAGCCUGAUGCAGCCAUGCCGCGUGUGUGAAGAAGGCCUUCGGGUUGUAAAGCACUUUCAGUCGUGAGGAAGGUAGUGUAGUUAAUAGCUGCAUUAUUUGACGUUAGCGACAGAAGAAGCACCGGCUAACUCCGUGCCAGCAGCCGCGGUAAUACGGAGGGUGCGAGCGUUAAUCGGAAUUACUGGGCGUAAAGCGCAUGCAGGUGGUUUGUUAAGUCAGAUGUGAAAGCCCGGGGCUCAACCUCGGAAUUGCAUUUGAAACUGGCAGACUAGAGUACUGUAGAGGGGGGUAGAAUUUCAGGUGUAGCGGUGAAAUGCGUAGAGAUCUGAAGGAAUACCGGUGGCGAAGGCGGCCCCCUGGACAGAUACUGACACUCAGAUGCGAAAGCGUGGGGAGCAAACAGGAUUAGAUACCCUGGUAGUCCACGCCGUAAACGAUGUCUACUUGGAGGUUGUGGCCUUGAGCCGUGGCUUUCGGAGCUAACGCGUUAAGUAGACCGCCUGGGGAGUACGGUCGCAAGAUUAAAACUCAAAUGAAUUGACGGGGGCCCGCACAAGCGGUGGAGCAUGUGGUUUAAUUCGAUGCAACGCGAAGAACCUUACCUACUCUUGACAUCCAGAGAACUUUCCAGAGAUGGAUUGGUGCCUUCGGGAACUCUGAGACAGGUGCUGCAUGGCUGUCGUCAGCUCGUG